rnacentral:rRNA from 1 species
GUAUUCCGCUCCAUAGCGUAUAUUAAAGUUGUUGCAGUUAAAAAGCUCGUAGUUGAAUUUCGGGGUCAGUAGGUUGGUCGUGCCACUGGUACGUACUGGUCUCACUGAUUCCUCCUUCCUGAUGAACCGUUAUGCCAUUAAUUUGGUGUUGCGGGGAAACUGGACUGUUACUUUGAAAAAAUUAGAGUGUUUAAAGCAGGCUAACGCUUGAAUACAUUAGCAUGGAAUAAUGAAAUAGGACGUUCGAUCCUAUUUUGUUGGUUUCUAGGAUUGACGUAAUGAUUAAUAGGGAUAGUUGGGGGCAUUAGUAUUCAAUUGUCAGAGGUGAAAUUCUUGGAUUUAUUGAAGACUAACUACUGCGAAAGCAUUUGCCAAGGAUGUUUUCAUUAAUCAAGAACGAAAGUUAGGGGAUCGAAGACGAUCAGAUACCGUCGUAGUCUUAACCAUAAACUAUGCCGACUAGGGAUCGGAUGAUGUUAAUUUUUUAAUGACUCAUUCGGCGCCUUACGGGAAACA